UUGCACGCUGGCGGCAGGCCUAACCCCUGCACGUCGAACGGUAACAGGAAGCAGCUUGCUGCUUCGCUGACGAGUGGCGGACGGGUGAGUAAUGUCUGGGAAACUGCCUGAUGGAGGGGGAUAACUACUGGAAACGGUAGCUAAUACCGCAUAACGUCGCAAGACCAAAGAGGGGGACCUUAGGGCCUCUUGCCAUCGGAUGUGCCCAGAUGGGAUUAGCUAGUAGGUGGGGUAACGGCUCACCUAGGCGACGAUCCCUAGCUGGUCUGAGAGGAUGACCAGCCACACUGGAACUGAGACACGGUCCAGACUCCUACGGGAGGCAGCAGUGGGGAAUAUUGCACAAUGGGCGCAAGCCUGAUGCAGCCAUGCCGCGUGUAUGAAGAAGGCCUUCGGGUUGUAAAGUACUUUCAGCGGGGAGGAAGGGAGUAAAGUUAAUACCUUUGCUCAUUGACGGUACCCGCAGAAGAAGCACCGGCUAACUCCGUG
rnacentral:rRNA from 1 species